rnacentral:tRNA from 1 species
UUGGGUAUAGCUCAGUGGUAGAGCGCAUGCUUAGCAUGCAUGAGGUCCUGGGUUCAAUCCCCAGUACCUCUA